rnacentral:rRNA from 1 species
GACGAACGCUGGCGGCGUGCUUAACACAUGCAAGUCGAACGGAAAGGCCCUGCUUUUGUGGGGUGCUCGAGUGGCGAACGGGUGAGUAACACGUGAGUAACCUGCCCUUGACUUUGGGAUAACUUCAGGAAACUGGGGCUAAUACCGGAUAGGAGCUCCUGCUGCAUGGUGGGGGUUGGAAAGUUUCGGCGGUUGGGGAUGGACUCGCGGCUUAUCAGCUUGUUGGUGGGGUAGUGGCUUACCAAGGCUUUGACGGGUAGCGGGCCUGGGAGGGUGACCGGCCACAUUGGGACUGGGAUACGGCCCAGACUCCUACGGGAGGCAGCAGUGGGGAAUAUUGCACAAUGGGCGGAAGCCUGAUGCAGCAACGCCGCGUGCGGGAUGACGGCCUUCGGGUUGUAAACCGCUUUCGCCUGUGACGAAGCGUGAGUGACGGUAAUGGGUAAAGAAGCACCGGCUAACUACGUGCCAGCAGCCGCCGUAACAC